rnacentral:tRNA from 2 species
GGGGACAGCGCAGGGCGCAGGCAUCCUUUGCAAGGAAGCCUUGGUGGGUUCGAGCCCCACUGUCUCCACCA